AUUGAUAGAAAAAUUGUGAGUGCAUAUGAAAGGAUUCACAUUCCCGUAUCCAAAUAAAGUCCCAGUCAUUGCAUUCAUUGAAUCCAAUAGCCGAUAGUGUUUGAACCAAAUUUCCAUUUAAUUUAUAAAAUGAAAGGUUAAGAUUUCAUGCGGUUAAAACUUUGACCGCAAGAACCCAAAUCCAAAUAUGAGGUGUGGAAAUAAAAGGUUGAUGUAUACAAUAGAAGCUGAAGCAUGAAGUCAUGAUUAAUAUUCCUUUAUUGAAUAUAUAACUACCCUCUUUGAUACUUCAAAGAGAAACUGGAGAAAACUAAAUCAAUUCAACGUAUUCAAGUUGUGGAUGCAAUGAAUUUGGCAAGAUACAGAUGAAAUAAUCAACAUAGAGUAUAUGGACAAGUACAUUAUAAGUACCUUUAUUAUACUAUGCUAGAUGAACCCCACAAGUACAAGCAAUUUUAUCAAGUAAUAUAUGUAAAAUGUGAUACAUAUACCAAAGGAAAUUGCAUACCUUUGUGAUUCAAAUUGCUAUGAAUACUUAGUUCUAGUACUAGAUCUUCUAUCACUACAAUGAUACCUAUUCUCAAUUAUGAAGUGGGUUUGGUCCACCUGGGGUAGUUGCAAGUGAAACAGUGUGAAACCCACUGACCUUAAUGUCUUUAUUUUCUGCAGCGUGAUAGCUAGUAGUACCAAAAGCAUGUGGGAAUGAAAAGAGGAACCUGGUCCUUGUUCUUUCUCUCAUAUCUUCCUUGCCACCCAAGGAAAUGUGCCAGUAAGUUGAAAGAUGAAGUAGUGCUAGUAUAAGAAGAAAGAACAUGAUAAUUAAGAGUGUAGAUUUAUGAACUCUCAUGAUUGUAAAUGAUAAGGAAAAAAGAGGGAGGUUGAGAUGAAUACUGUGUUAAAUAGUAUAUUUAGAAAAGUCAUUGAAUCACUAUUAAAAAUAAAUAUUGAUAGGUGGUUAGCAGGUAUGAUAUUU
rnacentral:lncRNA from 1 species